AGGCAGGUCUCUCCUCCUGUAAGAUUCUCCCAAAAGGUUUGAUGAAAAUGGCCCCAGAUCUGAAGCAGGUGGAUCUCUUUUCUUGUAAAUACAUCCCAAAAUAUUAAAUGAAAAUGGCUCCAUAUCUGAAGCAGCUGACUCUCUCCUCAGGUUCUCUCCAUUCUUCCUGAUCCUGGGUGCUGCAGUCUCUCCUGAUAAGAACUGGGGCUGCUUUCAGAUCCUCUUUUCCAGAUCAAUCUCCUGUGUCCCAAUACCUUCACUGAAUAUAGUGGGCAUUCUGAAUGAAGGAAAGUAAAAUCAAGUUAAUCUACAACAGCCAGUCAUCAUGAAUCAAAGUAUCUGACUGCUCCACCAAGCAUCAAAAUCCAAA